rnacentral:rRNA from 1 species
GAUGAACGCUGGCGGCGUGCCUAAUACAUGCAAGUCGAGCGAACGGACGAGAAGCUUGCUUCUCUGAUGUUAGCGGCGGACGGGUGAGUAACACGUGGAUAACCUACCUAUAAGACUGGGAUAACUUCGGGAAACCGGAGCUAAUACCGGAUAAUAUUUUGAACCGCAUGGUUCAAAAGUGAAAGACGGUCUUGCUGUCACUUAUAGAUGGAUCCGCGCUGCAUUAGCUAGUUGGUAAGGUAACGGCUUACCAAGGCAACGAUGCAUAGCCGACCUGAGAGGGUGAUCGGCCACACUGGAACUGAGACACGGUCCAGACUCCUACGGGAGGCAGCAGUAGGGAAUCUUCCGCAAUGGGCGAAAGCCUGACGGAGCAACGCCGCGUGAGUGAUGAAGGUCUUCGGAUCGUAAAACUCUGUUAUUAGGGAAGAACAUCUGUGUAAGUAACUGUGCACAUCUUGACGGUACCUAAUCAGAAAGCGACGGCUAACUACGUG